rnacentral:RNase_P_RNA from 1 species
CAAGUAAACCGGGUGACCGCUCGCUUUAAGCGGGAGGAAAGUCCGAGCUCCACCGGGCAGGAUGCUGGGUAACACCCAGGAGGGGUGACCCUACGGAAAGUGCCACAGAAACAUACCGGUCGCCCAUGGCGACUAAGGGUGAAAUGGUGAGGUAAGAGCUCACCAGCGGCUGGGUGACCAGUCGGCUGGGCAAACCCCAUCCGGAGCAAGACCAAAUAGAGGGACUAAAGGGACGCCCGGCCUGUUCCCCGGGUCGGUCGCUUGACCCUGAUGGUAACGUCAGGGCUAGAUGGAUGGUCACCGCUCCGACUCGUCGGAGUACAGAACUCGGCUUACAGGUUUACUUGACCU